UACGGGGGGGAGCAAGCGUUGUUCGGAUUUACUGGGCGUAAAGGGCGCGUAGGCGGCCAGCACAAGUCAGUUGUGAAAUCUCCGAGCUUAACUCGGAAAGGUCAACUGAUACUGUGCGGCUAGAGUGCGGAAGGGGCAACUGGAAUUCUUGGUGUAGCGGUGAAAUGCGUAGAUAUCAAGAGGAACACCUGCGGCGAAGGCGGGUUGCUGGGCCGACACUGACGCUGAGGCGCGAAAGCGUGGGGAGCGAACAGG
rnacentral:rRNA from 1 species